AAAUUGAAGAGUUUGAUCAUGGCUCAGAUUGAACGCUGGCGGCAGGCCUAACACAUGCAAGUCGAACGGUAACAGGAAGCAGCUUGCUGCUUCGCUGACGAGUGGCGGACGGGUGAGUAAUGUCUGGGAAACUGCCUGAUGGAGGGGGAUAACUACUGGAAACGGUGGCUAAUACCGCAUAACGUCGCAAGACCAAAGAGGGGGACCUUCGGGCCUCUUGCCAUCAGAUGUGCCCAGAUGGGAUUAGCUUGUUGGUGAGGUAACGGCUCACCAAGGCGACGAUCCCUAGCUGGUCUGAGAGGAUGACCAGCCACACUGGAACUGAGACACGGUCCAGACUCCUACGGGAGGCAGCAGUGGGGAAUAUUGCACAAUGGGCGCAAGCCUGAUGCAGCCAUGCCGCGUGUAUGAAGAAGGCCUUCGGGUUGUAAAGUACUUUCAGCGGGGAGGAAGGUGUUGUGGUUAAUAACCACAGCAAUUGACGUUACCCGCAGAAGAAGCACCGGCUAACUCCGUGCCAGCAGCCGCGGUAAUACGGAGGGUGCAAGCGUUAAUCGGAAUUACUGGGCGUAAAGCGCACGCAGGCGGUCUGUCAAGUCGGAUGUGAAAUCCCCGGGCUCAACCUGGGAACUGCAUUCGAAACUGGCAGGCUUGAGUCUUGUAGAGGGGGGUAGAAUUCCAGGUGUAGCGGUGAAAUGCGUAGAGAUCUGGAGGAAUACCGGUGGCGAAGGCGGCCCCCUGGACAAAGACUGACGCUCAGGUGCGAAAGCGUGGGGAGCAAACAGGAUUAGAUACCCUGGUAGUCCACGCCGUAAACGAUGUCUACUUGGAGGUUGUGCCCUUGAGGCGUGGCUUCCGGAGCUAACGCGUUAAGUAGACCGCCUGGGGAGUACGGCCGCAAGGUUAAAACUCAAAUGAAUUGACGGGGGCCCGCACAAGCGGUGGAGCAUGUGGUUUAAUUCGAUGCAACGCGAAGAACCUUACCUGGUCUUGACAUCCACAGAACUUUCCAGAGAUGGACUGGUGCCUUCGGGAACUGUGAGACAGGUGCUGCAUGGCUGUCGUCAGCUCGUGUUGUGAAAUGUUGGGUUAAGUCCCGCAACGAGCGCAACCCUUAUCCUUUGUUGCCAGCGGUCCGGCCGGGAACUCAAAGGAGACUGCCAGUGAUAAACUGGAGGAAGGUGGGGAUGACGUCAAGUCAUCAUGGCCCUUACGACCAGGGCUACACACGUGCUACAAUGGCGCAUACAAAGAGAAGCGACCUCGCGAGAGCAAGCGGACCUCAUAAAGUGCGUCGUAGUCCGGAUUGGAGUCUGCAACUCGACUCCAUGAAGUCGGAAUCGCUAGUAAUCGUGGAUCAGAAUGCCACGGUGAAUACGUUCCCGGGCCUUGUACACACCGCCCGUCACACCAUGGGAGUGGGUUGCAAAAGAAGUAGGUAGCUUAACCUUCGGGAGGGCGCUUACCACUUUGUGAUUCAUGACUGGGGUGAAGUCGUAACAAGGUAACCGUAGGGGAACCUGCGGUUGGAUCACCUCCUUA
rnacentral:rRNA from 1 species